GUAGGUUAUCGUGUUACAAUUUUCUUUAUUAUUAAAGCUUUGCUUGACAUAUACACGAGCCACUUACUUUGCUGAAAGAAAAGCAACUAUGCUGAAGACUGGUGGGAUAUUCUAAACUUGAGUGAGUGAGGGGAUAUUCCCAGUCUGACAGGAGGAUUAAUUCAUUUAUUUUUAAGAAUGGCAGAUCAAGUUGAUGGAUUAUGCCAAAAUGGCUAAAAUGACUGAAAGAAUCAGAAAUCAGGAAGACCAAAAUUUUAAUAAGGAAUGGUGAAAAUUUAUAACCUAUCUUAAAAACCAUGGUAAAUAGUUAAAAUCAUUAGUAGGAUUGGAAUUUCACUUGUACCUUACUGGUGAAUUUUGGACACAAUGGAGACGUAAAAGAUUUUGAUUAUCAUAAAAGAUGCAGGAGGAAAUGAUUAACAAUAGGACCCACAAAGGGGAGGAGGGAAGUCCAAGAUAUUCCUUGGAAUCUUGUUUUUAUUUUGUUUGUUUAAUAUGUGACUGUAAAUUUUUAAUCUGAAUUUAAAAAAUAAAAAUAAAUAAAGAUUUUUUUAAAUCACCCCCACCCUCCACAACACAGACAACCUCGGAAGGUGGUGAUUCUCCUUCAUUGGAAGUUUCUAAGCAUAUGUCGGAUGUCCAUCUGUCAGGAAGUCUUUAGCUGUGUUUCCCGCAUUGCAGGGGGUUGGACUAGAUGACCCUUGGGUCCCUUCCAACUCUACAAUUCUGCGAUUCUGUGAGUCACACCACAGAGACAAAAAUUUCUAGAUCAAGGUAUGCAGGCUGUAACCAACUACCAAAGCUGCUGAACAACUUUAAUAAUAAUAAUAAUAAUAAUAAUAAUAAUAAUAAUUUGAUACCCCGCCCAUCCGGCUGGGUUUCCCCAGCCACUCUGGGCGGCUUCCAACAAAAUAUUAAAAAUACAAUAAAACAUCAAACAUUAAAAACUUUCCUAUGCCAUCUUCACCUGAGGAAAAUGAAUAGCUGUUCCACUGUUUUGUUUUGUGUUUUUAAAAAAGUCAGAUCUUCCAAGAUGUGUUGCAUGGAGAGAGGAGAGAAACUGGACAAGGGAGAAGAAUCACAACAUCAUGAAGCCAACACGGCUAAAACUGGAUAAACAAAGCCUUGCUCAUUCAUAGUCAAUGCCGGGUCUGGAAGAAGUCUGAGAAAUUGUUCUGCUAGAAAGAUGAGCAGGUGUGCUUAAUUGUUGAGUGGGGGGGGCAGGAGGUGGUCAUUAUUUGUCUUUUUAGUUGCCUAAUAUCUUUAGCAUAAGUCUGGAAGAAAACAUUGUCCUGGAAUGGGAAAAGACUGAGUUCUGUGGAAAGGAAUCUGAUGAAGAAAACCUCAAACAGAGGUCCCCCUGCAGCCUCAGCAGAUCUCUGGAGGAAAGCGCUUGAAAACUCUUCCUGGAUGCCCCAUCUCAGGGUUUAACAAGGGAAUUCAAAAUCCUGUUAGUUUCAUUCCUAAUUAUGUUACAACAGCGCAGCGUGGAAG